rnacentral:rRNA from 1 species
UACAGAGGUCCCGAGCGUUUGUUCGGAUUCAUUGGGCGUAAAGGGUGCGUAGGCGGCGCGGUAAGUCGGGGUGUGAAAUUUCGAGGCUUAACUUCGAAACUGCAUUCGAUACUGCCGUGCUUGAGGACUGGAGAGGAGACUGGAAUUUACGGUGUAGCGGUGAAAUGCGUAGAUAUCGUAAGGAAGACCAGUGGCGAAGGCGGGUCUCUGGACAGUUCCUGACGCUGAGGCACGAAGGCCAGGGGAGCAAACAGG